GUGCCAGCCGCCGCGGUAAUACCGGCAGCACGAGUGAUGGCCGAUCUUAUUGGGCCUAAAGCGUCCGUGGCCGGCCGGACAAGUCCGUUGGGAAAUCCACGCGCUCAACGCGUGGGCGUCCAGCGGAAACUGUCCGGCUUGGGGCCGGAAGAUCCGAGGGGUACGUCCGGGGUAGGAGUGAAAUCCCGUAAUCCUGGACGGACCGCCGAUGGCGAAAGCACGUCGGGAAGACGGAUCCGACGGUGAGGGACGAAAGCCAGGGUCUCCAACCGGAUUAGAAACCCGUGUAGUCC
rnacentral:rRNA from 1 species